GUCCAGACUCCUACGGGAGGCAGCAGUGGGGAAUAUUGCAUAAUGGGGGAAACCCUGAUGCAGCAACGCCGCGUGAGUGAAGAAGUAUUUCGGUAUGUAAAGCUCUAUCAGCAGGGAAGAAAAUGACGGUACCUGACUAAGAAGCUCCGGCUAAAUACGUGCCAGCAGCCGCGGUAAUACGUAUGGAGCAAGCGUUAUCCGGAUUUACUGGGUGUAAAGGGAGCGCAGGCGGUACGGCAAGUCCGAUGUGAAAACCCGGGGCUCAACCCCGGGACUGCAUUGGAAACUGCCGCACUAGAGUGCCGGAGAGGUAAGUGGAAUUCCUAGUGUAGCGGUGAAAUGCGUAGAUAUUAGGAGGAACACCAGUGGCGAAGGCGGCUUACUGGACUGUAACUGACGUUGAGGCUCGAAAGCGUGGGGAGCAAACAGGAUUAGAUACCCCUGUA
rnacentral:rRNA from 1 species